rnacentral:rRNA from 1 species
GAUGGUUGUCGUCAGCUCGUGUCGUGAGAUGUGGUUAAGUCCGCAACGAGCGCAACCCUCGACCUUAGUUGCCAGCAUUCAGUUGGGCACUCUAAGGUGACUGCCGGCUAAAAGUCGGAGGAAGGUGGGGAUGACGUCAAAUCAUCAUGCCCCUUAUGACCUGGGCUACACACGUGCUGCAAUGGGCGGUACAAAGGGUCGCGAACCCGCGAGGGGGAGCCAAUCCCAAAAAGCCGCUCUCAGUUCGGGUUGCAGGCUGCAACUCGCCUGCAUGAAGCCGGAAUCGCUAGUAAUCGCGGAUCAGCAUGCCGCGGUGAAUACGUUCCCGGGCCUU